UUCGGAAUGAAGAUGUAGGCGCGAGUGGCGGACGGGUGAGUAACGCGUGGGUAACCUGCCUUAUACAGGGGGAUAACAGUUGGAAACGACUGCUAAUACCGCAUAAGCGCACGGUAUCGCAUGAUACAGUGUGAAAAACUCCGGUGGUAUGAGAUGGACCCGCGUCUGAUUAGCUAGUUGGUGAGGUAACGGCCCACCAAGGCAACGAUCAGUAGCCGACCUGAGAGGAUGAACGGCCACACUGGAACUGAGACACGGCCCAGACUCC
rnacentral:rRNA from 1 species